AGAGUUUGAUCCUUUCUCAGGACGAACGCUGGCGGCGUGCUUAACACAUGCAAGUCUAACGGAAAGGCCCUGCUUUUGUGGGGUGCUCGAGUGGCGAACGGGUGGGUAACACGUGAGUAACCUGCCCUUGACUUUGGGAUAACUUCAGGAAACUGGGGCUAAUACCGGAUAGGAGCUCCUGCUGCAUGGUGGGGGUUGGAAAGUUUCGGCGGUUGGGGAUGGACUCGCGGCUUAUCAGCUUGUUGGUGGGGUAGUGGCUUACCAAGGCUUUGACGGGUAGCCGGCCUGAGAGGGUGACCGGCCACAUUGGGACUGAGAUACGGCCCAGACUCCUACGGGAGGCAGCAGUGGGGAAUAUUGCACAAUGGGCGGAAGCCUGAUGCAGCAACGCCGCGUGCGGGAUGACGGCCUUCGGGUUGUAAACCGCUUUCGCCUGUGACGAAGCGUGAGUGACGGUAAUGGGUAAAGAAGCACCGGCUAACUACGUGCCAGCAGCCGCGGUGAUACGUAGGGUGCGAGCGUUGUCCGGAUUUAUUGGCGUAAAGGGCUCGUAGGUGGUUGAUCGCGUCGGAAGUGUAAUCUUGGGGCUUAACCCUGAGCGUGCUUUCGAUACGGGUUGACUUGAGGAAGGUAGGGGAGAAUGGAAUUCCUGGUGGAGCGGUGGAAUGCGCAGAUAUCAGGAGGAACACCAGUGGCGAAGGCGGUUCUCUGGGCCUUUCCUGACGCUGAGGAGCGAAAGCGUGGGGAGCGAACAGGCUUAGAUACCCUGGUAGUCCACGCUGUAAACGGUGGGCACUAGGUGUGGGGUCCAUUCCACGGGUUCCGUGCCGUAGCUAACGCUUUAAGUACCCCGCCUGGGGAGUACGGCCGCAAGGCUAAAACUCAAAGGAAUUGACGGGGCCCCGCACAAGCGGCGGAGCAUGCGGAUUAAUUCGAUGCAACGCGUAGAACCUUACCUGGGUUUGACAUGGAUCGGGAGUGCUCAGAGAUGGGUGUGCCUCUUUUGGGGUCGGUUCACAGGUGGUGCAUGGCUGUCGUCAGCUCGUGUCGUGAGAUGUUGGGUUAAGUCCCGCAACGAGCGCAACCCUUGUUCACUGUUGCCAGCACGUUAUGGUGGGGACUCAGUGGAGACCGCCGGGGUCAACUCGGAGGAAGGUGGGGAUGACGUCAAGUCAUCAUGCCCCUUAUGUCCAGGGCUUCACGCAUGCUACAAUGGCUGGUACAGAGAGUGGCGAGCCUGUGAGGGUGAGCGAAUCUCGGAAAGCCGGUCUCAGUUCGGAUUGGGGUCUGCAACUCGACCUCAUGAAGUCGGAGUCGCUAGUAAUCGCAGAUCAGCAACGCUGCGGUGAAUACGUUCCCGGGGCUUGUACACACCGCCCGUC
rnacentral:rRNA from 1 species